GAAAGGGUUAGUAACGGGUAGGUAACGUACCCUGUGCUUUGGGAUAGCGUCAGUAACUUCGGUUACUUUCCGAAAGGGGCGGUAAUACCAAAUAAUAUCACUCGUCGAUAGGCGAAUGAUCAAAGAUUUAUCGGCACGGGAGCGGCCUGCCUCCUAUCAGCUUGUUGGUGAGGUAACGGCUCACCAAGGCAACGACGGGUAGCGGGACUGAGAGGUUGACCCGCAACAUCGGGACUGAGACACUGCCCGGACCUCCACGGAGGGCUGCAGUAACGGAUAUUGCGCAAUGGGCGAAAGCCUGACGCAGCGACGCCGCGUGUAGGAGGAAGUCCUUCGGGAUGUAAACUACUGUCAGGGGGAAGAAAGUGCGCUUCGGCGUAUUGAUCUAACCCAGAGGAAGUCACGGCUAACUUCGUGCCAGCAGCCGCGGUAAGACGAAGGUGGCAAGCGUUGUUCGGUAUUACUGGGCUUAAAGCGUGUGUAGGCGGAAAUGUAAGCGUUGCGUGAAAGCCCCCGGCUUAACCGGGGAAUUGCGCAACGAACUGCGUUUCUUGAGGCAAGUAGGGGUACAUGGAACUCUUGGUGGAGCGGUGGAAUGCGUAGAUAUCAAGAGGAACGCCAGUGGAGAAAUCGGUGUACUGGGCUU
rnacentral:rRNA from 1 species